rnacentral:lncRNA from 1 species
AUGGGAGCUCCUGCUGACCCGGGAGCUCUGCAGCGGCCAAGGAGCUGGUUCGAUCCCAGACACAGCGCAGCAGGUAGAGGAUCCGGCACUGCCACAGCUAUGGCGUCGGUCACAACCGCAGCUCGGGUUCAAUCCCGGCCCAGGAACUUCCAUGUUCUGAGGACGUGGCCAUUAAAAAAAAAAAAAGAAAAAAAGAAGAAAAAAGGAGAGAAGAAGGAAAGUGAGAGCCUUGACAGCACAGACGACGUCAAGCCGAACAAGCACCGCCGUCUCUUCAGGCGCGGUGAUCCCGGCUGUGCAGCAGGGACCUGGCAGACACCCCUCCUCCAGGCCGCUGAGCUUGGACACCAGGAGUCCCGGCAACGGCUGCACAUAACCGGGUGUGACGCGAAGGCCCUUCACCUCUGGGGCCCCCUCCCUCCAGCACCAAAACCCCUUCCCUGCUGGCCUGCUGGCCUCCAGAUCCACCGCGGCUGCCGAAAACAGCAGCCCGAGGGGACGGGACAGCUCAGUGCAACGGGGUGUGUGGGGGGCGGGGGUGCCUGGGACAGAAGCGGGACCCCAGGCAAGGACGCCGUGAGGCCCCGCAGAGUCCGAGUGAGAAGUACAGAGCGUGGAGCUGCGGGCUGGGCCGCGGGGGAGCGCCCACCACACAACACUGCCCCCAAGGACACGGCCACCAGAGAGGCCGUGGGGAGCUGUCAGCCCGAGGGAGGCAGCCGAAGGGGCAGCGCAAGCCACAAGGGGCCGCAGCCGGUGCGAGGCGACAGCACGAGGCGGGAAGGGAGGCGGCAGGCAGGGCCGCUGGGGAGCAGAGGAGGCCUCCGCACUCGGCCACCCGCCCCGCGGGCGCCUGGUGUGAGCGGCCGUCAAAGGGGCGCCUGCGGGACGGGGCUUUGCACAAAGCGCCCCCCAGCUGUGGGCUGCCCGCAGGCGACCCUCCGGGCAGGAAAGACAGGACGGAGGGCCCGGAAGACGCAGGAGGAUCCGCAGGCUGUUGCCGGCCCAGAGAGCCGCUACGGGCACAGUGCAGACUGUGGUCAGCGGUGGGACACCAGGUUGCCGUGUUCCCGUCGAGGCGCAGCGGCAACGACCCCAAGGAUCCAUGAGGACGCACUUCCAUCCCUGGCCCCGCUCAGCGGGUUAAGGAUCCGGCGUGGCCGUGAGCUCUGUGGGGGAGGCCGGCAGCGGCAGCGGCAGCUCUGA